AGGGAUGCAGUCUGGGACACGUAGUUGCAAACCUAGCGACUUUGUUGUUAGAUUCAAUGACUUUUCAGACCCCCUAACAACUUUUUUUAGAAAGAAAGGGACUUUUAUCGACUUCUUCUGGAGUUUAGAGACUCUGACAUGAAGCAGGCUUUCCUUACUGAGGAGUUAGCAACGCUGCUAAGGGUGCAGAGCCACACAUGCGCUCCGAGCUCUGCAUGGGAGACUGAAGCUGACAGAGCUGCAGCAGUUAGCAGGUUUCACCCUCAGAGACCACCAGGGGUUCAUGUUGAGGCAUUUUCAGUUUUUUUUUUUUUUUUUGCCAUAGACACUGUCAGCACAAUCUGCAGUUACACUAACAAAAAUGCUGCAAAAAACAAAGAAUUAUGGAAAAAUUACACAUGGACUAACAUAGAGGAGGAUCUACACAAGUUUUUUACAUCAUGUUUUACAUCAUGCAUCAUUUACAUCAUGUUUUUUUGUAGUGGCAUAAAUAAAAAGUGACAUUUGUGAGACUAUACAGUGUUUUGUAAAUAAUUUUACAAAGAACACCUGGGCCAUUGCCUGCAUUUUGAUGUCAAUAGAGGUAAAUUACUAUGUUCUUUGUUAAAAAUUUGCAUAUGUUUUGAAGUUUACAAUUUUUAUUUGAAGUUUAAGUUUUAAAAACAGUUCAUCACACAUAUUUGUGGUUUUCACAGUAAAAACGUUACUUUUUUUUCCUCGGAUUUUAUGUUUUGUGUGUGAAUUUGGGUCCAAUGUGUAAAUAUAGUAUGUCAAAAUGGUAAAAUAACUGUAAAUUGACACAGGUGAGGUUGUGCUGAAAAAAAUGAUACCAGGCAAGGCAAGGUAAAAAUUUUGUAAGAGGAAAUAUAAAGGUAAAAUCUAAAGUAGUCAAAAACGGCCAAUAGUGACUCACAGACUCCACAGACAAGUCCCUUUGGCGCCACUCAGUGGGCAAAA